UCCACGGAGAUGCGGCUCCAUCCUAAGUCCAGCAUUGAAUAUGGUAUGGACGUGGCCCAUUGAGGGUGAAAGGCCCGUUUGGGUGGAGUUUUUUGGGAUAGCGUCUCUCUGGGUAGACCUUGGAGUCGGGUUGUUUGUGAAUGCAGCCCAAAGUGGGUGGUAAACUCCAUCCAAGGCUAAAUACAAGCACGAGUCCGAUAGCGAACAAGUACCGUGAGGGAAAGUUGAAAAGUACUUUGAAGAGAGAGUAAACAGUACGUGAAACCGCUCAGAGGUAAACGGGUGGAGUUGAACUGCAAUCCCUGUGGAUUCAGCUGGUGAGUGUGAUUUGAGCUUGGUCAAAUUGGCUGAGCUUCGGGGUCUGCGUAGUGGCAGGUCUUUGCCUUCGGGUAGAGAUGCGCGAUGCACCUACCAUGUGCUGUGCGCCUCGGAGUAUCGGGUCUGCUUGCCAGUGCACUUUUGCAGGGUGUUCACCACGACCGGCAUUGUCGUCUUGCUGUUGUAGUUAAACCGGUCUUGCUUCGUCCUUGUGGCUUUGCUUGGUCGGGAUGGCAGGUAGCUCGUUGAUGGCUUGUAGCUUGCUGCAGUCGUUUUCGGGUGUAAUCAGCUGACUGCGAUGGUUUUGUGCGAUAUGUCGGAGACGGCGGCUAGUGGUGCUUGCGUGCAUGCUGAUCGUGCGGGCUUGUUCGGGUCUGAUUGUCGUGUUGCUCACACAAGUGGGCCUGGCAGUGGCUCGGGCUUGUUCCGCCGUGGCUGUGUGCGUGGUACUUAACAGGGCCAACAGUCUGUGGUGUAGUGGUAGACUAUCCACCCGACCCGUCUUGAAACACGGACCAAGGAGAGUAACAUGUGCGCGAGUCAUUGGGCGUAACGAAACCCAUAGGCGCAGUGAAAGUAAAGGCAUUUAUGCUGAGGUGAGAUCUUGCUGUUUCUCAUGCGCGGUACUACCAAGCAUCGAGCAGUGAGCGCAUCACCGGCCCGUCUCGUAACGUAGUCAUUAAGUCUUCGGACCAGUGCAUCGUUGGGGCGGAGCAUGAGCGUACAUGUUGAGACCCGAAAGAUGGUGAACUAUGCUUGUGCAGGUUGAAGCCAGAGGAAACUCUGGUGGAGGACCGCAGCG
rnacentral:rRNA from 1 species